rnacentral:snRNA from 1 species
GGACGUAAGGGCAAUCUGGCUGCGGUAUCUGUCACCCCAUUGAUCGCCAGGGUUGAUUUGUCUGAUCUUGCUGGCUAGGUGUGUCCCCUUCCUCCCUCACUGCUCCAUCUGCAUCCCUCCUUAAGAUGUGCGCUUCGUCAAAGAGGACAACCUUGCCAGAACAGAGGAGGUCUGGUCUUUGGGCAAGGGUAUACAAAUAGCUGUGUUCCCAUACCAGAACCUCCAAAAAGGCUCUCAAAUAAGUAACUAAAUAUUUUUUAAGUAUUUUUAUUUGAGAGCAAAUUAGUAUGAAUGAGAAUCAAUAUGCAUACCAGGACCUCUUGCUGUUAU